AUAGACACCUCUUUGGGAGGCUGGGCACAGUGGCUCACGCCUAUAAUCCCAGCACUUUGGGAGGCCGAGGCAGGCAGAUCACCUGAGGUAGGGAGUUCAAGACCAGCCUGACCAACAUGGAGAAACCCCAUCUCUACUAAAACUACAAAAUUAGCUGGGCGUGGUGGCACAUGCCUGUAAUCCCAGCUACUUGGGAGGCUGAGGCGGGAGAAUUGCUUGAACCGGGAGGCAGAGAUUGCGCUCAGGUUUCAGCUCCUCGGAAGAAAGCAGUUCUUGUGAAGUAAGAAGAAGGCGCCCUAGGAACAGGAAUCCCACCUUGAAGAUUGCUUCUCUAACCUGAACGUUGUCAGCCCAACUUCAGAGCAAAGUCAGGAAACUGCCAGAAAGGGCAGAGCCUGACAGUUUGCACAGCCUGAAGUAAUUCUUCCUCCUGCUCAGAAUGAGUGAUGCUCUGUAAAUGUUAUCACAUCCAGAAGGUCUCCCCACUAUGAUGAAAGGUUUGGACCACGUCUCAGAAAAGAUAUGUGACUGGACUGAGUGGUGGAAAGGGGGCCAAAGAAACUUUUUCCCAUAGACGAGUGUGUAACCAGUUGGUGGGCAGCAGUUUUUAGGAAGCUGAAUCUCAAAGGUCCGUAGCAGGCCAGAUCUCGCAUGACCACCCCUGUGUUCUUCUCCCGUAACUGUACAUUCAGCUUCCCCUGCACUUUCCCAA
rnacentral:lncRNA from 1 species